UCUUCCCACUUUGGGCACAGAAGAGGUUUUAUUUGCUACCUGCACGGCUGCUGGAUCGAAGCCUCCUGCAGAGGUGAGGUGGCUCACUGGUGCUUUGGGAGACAAAGUGAGGACGACAACAAACUCCACCCAGUAUGACAACAGCACGACUACCACAAUCAGCUCUCUGUUUGGUGUUCCUACGAGAGAGAUUAACGGUCACCAGGUCCAGUGUGUCAUCAGUGGUGACUCCCUGUCUAUAGUUGAAAGUCUGCCCUUCACUAUACAGAUCUACUUCUCUCCCACAGAAGUGAACAUCAGAGCAAAAUCUGAGGACUCAUUUGAGUGUGUGACAGAAGCCAAUCCAAGUGCAAAUUUUACAUGGAGCAGAUCUGGCCAGUCAUUGCUGCAGUCUGUUGUCAAAGUAGACGGUGCAAAGCUACAACUGCUGAGCUUGACCUCUGAUCUAAAUGGCCUCUAUCAGUGUGAAGCAUCUAACACAUAUGGAAGUAAACACGGUCAGCUUUAUGUGCGUGUGGCAUCAGUAGGAGGUCUUUAAACCGACAUCGUGGCAAGCAGCAUGACACAAAACUUCACCGGAGUGUGAGAAACGAAGAUCACGGACCAGAGGAAGAAGACCUACAGAGAGAUCAAGAGGAAUCUCUCUGACAGCAAAGAUGAACAUUAUUUGGACUGAAGGCUCCACCAACAUGUCAUUUUAAAGUCAGCUGUUAAAUAAACAGAUGAAGAACACAUGCCCCUGCCUGAACAGGACACCAUACGUGACACGUGAACCUGCAACAGGGUCUGGACCACAGACAGAUUAACUUAAAAGCAGAUGUCAGACAAACACAGGAACAUGACUGCAGAAACAAAGGGUAACAAAACAGGGAAACUAGACACAAAAGGAAACUCGUAUAACUUAACAGCCAGGAAGUAGAAAAAAUAAAGGCAGUUGUUAAAGAAAACAAAAGUCACGACUAAAAAUCUCUUAAAUCCAAAGGAAUGAAUCACAAGACCAUAAUAAAUUCAAAACUUGGUUGAAGACCCACCAUGACACAUGCAUGUUUUAAGAUUGGAUUAUAUGAAAGUCAAACUCAAUUCAAUUCAGUUCAAUUCAAUUUUGUUUAUAGAGCAUACACAGAGCUUGACUUUAGUCUCUUAGUCUUGAGUUUAUCUGUAUUUCUAGUUCAAGGUGUCUUGUUUGAUAUUAGGUUUGUCUUUGUGUCAUCUGUGUCUUGUCCUCUGUGUCUCGCUGUGAAGUCAGUCUUGUCUCCAUGUUUAUUUGCCUAUCUGUUUCCCCAGUCAUGUCUCUCGCUCUCUCUGUCUCUUCACAUCUCUGUGUCCGUGUCUCAGCGUUUGUGUGUUCCUGUUUACUUUGGUAGUCGUCAUCUCAUGUGCCUCGUGUUCUGCUUUGCUUCCCCCAUCUUGUCAUGUCUAUGUUUCUCUAGCUGUGUUCCCAUGUUCCCUG